CAUACACCGACGUAAUGACAUUUCUCUUUCGGGUCUCCACGGUUUAAAAAUUCAAUUUGUCGGAAAAUUCUAUUUAGAGGUCUUUCUUCUUUGAUCAGUUCGGGUUUCAAAUAAUCAAUCGGUGUUUCGCUGCCGUUCGAAAGACCUGAAUCUCUCUUAAAAUGAAGUUGAAGAUCAACAAAGCCUGUGAUCUUAGCUCCAUCUCGGUCCUUCCUCCUCACACAAGAAGAAGAUCAAGCAUUCCAUCAAAUGGACCACAAUCAUCACAGCUCCGGUCUCAACCAUCCCAACAGUCUUUUUCACAAGGAAUUUCAUCUCACCAUGGCACUUUUUCUCAGCUCACUCAAAAUUCACUUGAUGAAGCCAUGAUGAACGAUCAGAGGUUUGGUUCUCAAGAACGAGAGAAGUCUCUGAAGAAGGUUCCUUGCUUGCCCUCAGUCAAUUAUACAAGAGAAGAGAGCCCAAUGCCAAUCUCUAGAUCUUCUGCAAAUGUAAUGUUUAAGUGGAAUUCUGCUUCUGUUGCAGAUCAUAAAUUAGGUCAGAUAUAUGAAGAACUUGAACGCCGGAUUGGGGCAAUGGAAACUUCAUUAAACCGAUACGGAAUAAUAUUGGAUUCUGUUCAGAGUGAUGUCAUGCAAGUCAACAGAGGAACUAAAGAGAUAUUGAUGGAGACUGAAAGCAUAAGGCAGAAGUUGAUUCUUCAUGAUACCUUACUGCAGCUACUGAACAAAGGACAGGAAGAUACAAAAGCCAGCCUUGAGGCAGGCAUUAAAUCUGUAUCUGACCAACUGAGCAAGGAUGCCUAUCAGGAAAGGCUACAGCAGAUUUUCCUGUUGCUUUCUGCCAUACCAGAACAAAUGGGCACUUCUUUGCGGAAGUUGCAAAAUGAGCUCUGCAGCACUUUUAUUAGAGAUAUGCAGGCAAUCGCCAAGCUGAAGAUCCCUGAUAAAAGUGGUCCUAUUGCAAACAUUCUUCCAGCAAAGGUUACUGGUGGUCAGACUGCACAAACCAAGAUAACACCUCAGCAGCACAACCUAGCUAAGCGUCCUCUGGAUUCUGCAAGAACAAUUUUAUCUCCAAAAGUAGAAGUUGGAAGUUGGAGGUCAGUAAAAUUGGAACGAGCUACUUGCAGAAAGAGACCACCAUACAAGGAGCAGAAACUAAAGGACGUUUCUUCCAUUGAACAGGAAAGUAUAUGUAGAGUGAUUAUUGAUUCAGAUGGAGAAAUUGAUGCAGGCUUUUCUUGCUUGCUUGAAGAAAAGGGAGGAGGUAAAGAAAAAGGGAUGUGAAAUUUGAAGAAGAAUUUAUUCUUGCCUGGAACUGCUCCUGCUCAUUUUUUUCUUGAGUGAAUGUUCAAUCCCCAUUUAAACACCUCAAUUUUUUACAAAGAUGCAGGAAAUAAUUACAUAGAGGAAGCAAAGGAAGAGACUAGACGGAUCUUGAGAAAAGCAAGGAGGAUAAAGAGGAAAUACAGUAACCCUAUAAUAAUCAAUUGAAGAGACGAGGCACUUCACGUCAUAAUGAAGUGUCAAAAGAGUUGAGGAAUACUUGCUGGAGCUCCCAAGCAGCAUUAUAAGGUUGAAUCUCUCUUCUUUGCCACACUCAAUUGCGACGUUUCAAAAGGUUUUUCGUUCUUUUUCUUGGUUUCCCUUAUUUGCUUCAGAUUAUUUUGUAUCAUUAACGUUUCUCUGUAGAAGCCAAUAUAUGAAAAUCGUCCAUUGACGCUUAUCUCUAGAGCUUAGAAUUCAAUAUAUUAAAUGCUUUUCUGCUCCAGUCCUUUGGGAUGCAGUACGAACCACAUGGGCUUACCUUGAGCCUCUCCAAAAUGGGCCCCUCCCACGGAGAUUAUUAGCGAAAUCAUUUUUUCCUUGGGCCACCAUGGAACCAACAUUUGGCAGAAAUUUAGGGUGACCUUGCCCAAAAUGUGGGAAAUGUGGCCCCUUUAGCCCAACAAUAAUUGGAGGUUGAAAUGGGCAAUUAUUAAAUUAUUAAAGACAAAUAGGCUUAUGAGACGAGGGUAGGAAGUAGGUUUCCGCCGACAAUGAUGAUGUACAGUUUACCCGAACGAUGUUGAUGACCAUUAUAGUCAUGUCCCAUUAUCUUGAUGGAGGAUGGUGGAUUCCUUCAAUUGGUAAAAGAACAUUAACAGGAAUAAAGGAGGAGCAAGCCCAUAUGGAGGUUAAUUAGUUGCUUUAGGUUCUUUCUUAUGAUUGUCUUGCUAGAAAUCUUUGGGAGCCCUUUUUUUGUCUGGAGUCCUACUUCUUUUUGUAGUAAUGGGAAAGAGCCUUUGAAAGAUAGAACGGAGGGCAUCCUAAUCGAAGUUGCUGCACGAAACAUUCAUAUAUCAUGAAUAUUUUUUUGAUAUCCUAUACGACCCCUCCUGACCACUGCAAAUUCAAGACGUGCCCGAAAGCACAUAUUAUUGUUAAAUCAUUUUCUCUUCUUGAGAUAAACAGAAUAGUAUUUUAUCAUUAUUGUUGCUUUAGAAACCAAAGCAAAAGAAUCAUUUCGAAGCUUUGGGCCCUC